UAAUUAACUUAAUAUAGCUACUAUAAUUCAAAAUAAUUUACCCUUCCUAAACAAAACAAAAUUAACUAAGUCUAUUAUAAUCUUAAUAUUUUUUCUGCUAAACUAGAUUACUGUAAUAAUAUAAAAUUAAUUAAUUGUAAAACUUUUUUAAUUUUUGUUUUUUAUAAAAUUCAAAGGUUAGGUGAUUUUAUCACCUAACCUUUGAAUUUGUUUGAAUUGAAUCAAUCAGCAAUAUUUUGACUGCAAAAUUUAAGCUAAUUUAUUUACUUUAAUGAAUUUAUGAUUAGUAGAAUUAUAUAAACUACACUAAUUAAACAUAAAAAGAUAAAAGACGCUUUUAAAUUUUUAAAGUCAAAGUGUUAUUGAGUU
rnacentral:lncRNA from 1 species